rnacentral:rRNA from 1 species
UACGGAGGAUUCAAGCGUUAUCCGGAUUUAUUGGGUUUAAAGGGUGCGUAGGCGGUCGGAUAAGUUAGAGGUGAAAUCCCGAGGCUCAACUUCGGAAUUGCCUCUGAUACUGGUUUGCUAGCGAGUAGAUGCUGUAGGCGGAAUGCGCGGUGUAGCGGUGAAAUGCAUAGAUAUCGCGCAGAACCCCGAUUGCGAAGGCAGCCUGCCGGCCCCACACUGACGCUGAGGCACGAAAGCGUGGGUAUCGAACAGG